AACCUGCCUGGUAGCGGGGGAUAACUAUUGGAAACGAUAGCUAAUACCGCAUGACAACAGUUAUUGCAUGAUAACUGUUUAAAAGGGGCAAUUGCUCCACUACCAGAUGGACCUGCGUUGUAUUAGCUAGUUGGUGAGGUAACGGCUCACCAAGGCGACGAUACAUAGCCGACCUGAGAGGGUGAUCGGCCACACUGGGACUGAGACACGGCCCAGACUCCUACGGGAGGCAGCAGUAGGGAAUCUUCGGCAAUGGACGGAAGUCUGACCGAGCAACGCCGCGUGAGUGAAGAAGGUUUUCGGAUCGUAAAGCUCUGUUGUAAGAGAAGAACGAGUGUGAGAGUGGAAAGUUCACACUGUGACGGUAUCUUACCAGAAAGGGACGGCUAACUACGUGCCAGCAGCCGCGGUAAUACGUAGGUCCCGAGCGUUAUCCGGAUUUA
rnacentral:rRNA from 1 species